CUACGGGUGGCUCCAGUGGGGAAUAUUGGACAAUGGGGGAAACCCUGAUCCAGCAAUGCCGCGUGUGUGAAGAAGGCCUGCGGGUUGUAAAGCACUUUCGGUUGGGAGGACUGCUUCUAGCACUAAUAUUGUUGGAAGUUGACGUUACCUUCAGAAGAAGCACCGGCUAACUCCGUGCCAGCAGCCGCGGUAAUACGGAGGGUGCGAGCGUUAAUCGGAAUUACUGGGCGUAAAGCGCGCGUAGGCGGCUAGAUCAGUCGGGUGUGAAAGCCCCGGGCUUAACCUGGGAACUGCAUCCGAUACUGUCUAGCUUGAGUACAGGAGAGGAGAGUGGAAUUCCACAUGUAGCGGUGAAAUGCGUAGAUAUGUGGAGGAACACCAAUGGCGAAGGCAGCUCUCUGGCCUGAUACUGACGCUGAGGUGCGAAAGCGUGGGGAGCAAACAGGAUUAGAUACCCCCGUAGUC
rnacentral:rRNA from 1 species